rnacentral:tRNA from 1 species
CUAUUUCUGGUGUAAAGAGCAUGUUUGCUUUCCGAGCGGGAGGUUCUAAUUCAUAUUAGGGAAAUAGA